UCUCGAUAGAUAGAAAACGCUGAAACAACUCCCAUGAGCGCAGCCACCGCCCCGCCGACGCCGCCGCCACGCAGCCGCGGCCGCCCCCCGCAGCCGACGCCCCGCCGACGCCGACGCCCCGCAGCCUACGCCGCCGCCACGCAGCCGCCGCCCCGCAGCCGACGCCGCCGCCCCCUCCCCCCGUCGCGAGUCACCGCUCGUCGGUACGUCGGCCCGUCGCGGGGACUCAGCACGAGGGCGCGCACCUCGGAGCUGCAGCAGGCGCCCGCCGCCGCGGCGUCUGGCAUCGCGACCCAAAAGGUCACCGUCCACGACCGGGAGCGCGGGGUCGUCCACGAGUUCAUCGUGCCCCAGGACCACUACAUUCGGCAUACCGCGGACAGAACAACUGAAUUAAGCAAGAUGAUGCAUGUUGGUAUUCUGUUUUGCUGUUGUUGAAUUGACACAAGUAGUUGCUGCAUUUCAGAAUUCAGUUAGUACUUAACCUUGAAAUUCGCACUCCACCGCGAGGCGCCGCCCGGUUGGUCCAUCGCGGGGACUCACGGCCCCGACCUCUCCGUCGCCGCCGCGAGUCGCCGCCCGUCGGCCUGCCUGCCUUCAGGUGGCAGAUCAAUGUCAACUAGCUUGGUGAGAUCUGCAUGAGCGUCAAUGUUCUCAACAGUGGCUACUUUCUUCGCUGUGCGUUCACAACGAACCAUCGUAGCAGCCUUUUAUGGGCGAAGUGGUGCAAGCGCUGAAGCUGAUUUACAACGAUGCAGAAGAGGCCGGCGGUGAUUCACGGCCACAGGAAAUCAUCGUGUGACCUAGACGAUGACUGACAAGGGGGCUUUGUCUUUGACAGUGACAAUGGUAGCUGGUGGCAUAGCGGGGGCUUCCGGGCGUCUAGACUACCAGAACAACUCACCAUUUAUAAACAUGGAGUACAGCUCUGGCAGAAUAGAAACAAGGCAGGAGCGUGAUGACCCUUAUUCGACAGAGUCCCAGUGACCCUCUAGUUAGGCUGAUGUUGUCAUCUGCCUUGAGCUGCAUCCUGUCCCAGAAUAGUCAGGACACUGAAAUUUGGAUGAACUCUGAAUCUUUCAGGUGUAGACUUGAGUGGACUGCUUUGGUGUUGUAACAGAUAUAUGAAUGCCAUUCUGUUUUAGCCCA